UGGGGAAUAUUGCACAAUGGGCGAAAGCCUGACGCAGCAACGCCGCGUGAGUGAUGAAGGCCUUCGGGUUGUAAAGCUCUGUCUUUUGGGACGAUAAUGACGGUACCAAAGGAGGAAGCCACGGCUAACUACGUGCCAGCAGCCGCGGUAAUACGUAGGUGGCAAGCGUUGUCCGGAUUUACUGGGCGUAAAGGAUGCGUAGGCGGAUUUUUAAGUGAGAUGUGAAAACCCCUAAGCUUAACUUGGGGACUGCAUUUCAUACUGGAAAUCUAGAGUGCGGGAGAGGAGAAUGGAAUUCCUAGUGUAGCGGUGAAAUGCGUAGAGAUUAGGAAGAACACCAGUGGCGAAGGCGAUUCUCUGGACCGUAACUGACGCUGAGGCAUGAAAGCGUGGGUAGCAAACAGGAUUAGAUACCCUGGUAGUCCACGCCGUAAACGAUGAGUACUAGGUGUAGGAGGUAUCGACCCCUUCUGUGCCGCAGUUAACACAAUAAGUACUCCGCCUGGGAAGUACGAUCGCAAGAUUAAAACUCAAAGGAAUUGACGGGGUCAUAGCUGUUUUCCU
rnacentral:rRNA from 1 species